AGGCAACUGCGAACUGACGCCGGCGUGGGGAACGAUGGGAGAAUACUCCAGUUCAGCUCUAUUUUGAGGUUGGAAGACAGUUCGGUUAAGAGCAUGGCUACCCUUCUUGAAGACACAGGUUCGAUUUCUAGCAAUCAAAACUGCUCACAACCGGAACUCCAGUGCCAGGGGAUCCUAACUCACUUUUGGCCUUUGUGGGCUUUGCAUGCUUGUGGUGGAAGAAAAUAAAUAAAUAAAUAAAUAAAUAAAUAAAUAAAGUAAGUAAGUAAGUAA